rnacentral:rRNA from 1 species
UACGUAGGGUGCAAGCGUUGUCCGGAAUUAUUGGGCGUAAAGAGCUCGUAGGCGGUUUGUCGCGUCUGCUGUGAAAACCCGAGGCUCAACCUCGGGGCCUGCAGUGGGUACGGGGCAGACUAGAGUGCGGUAGGGGGAGAUUGGAAUUCCUGGUGUAGCGGUGGAAUGCGCAGAUAUCAGGAGGAACACCAAUGGCGAAGGCAGAUCUCUGGGCCGUAACUGGACGCUGAGGAGCGAAAGCAUGGGGAGCGAACAGG